GGAGAGUUGGCCGAGUGGUAAGGCAGCGCCCUGCUAAGGCGUAACGUGUAACAGCGUCAGGAGUUCGAGUCUCCUACUCUCCGCAA
rnacentral:tRNA from 1 species